rnacentral:rRNA from 1 species
CAAUAGCGUAUAUUAAAGUUGUUGCGGUUAAAAAGCUCGUAGUUGGAUUUCUGCCUGAGCCAGCCGGUCCGCACUUAGUGCGUGUAUCUGGUUUGGUUUGGGCAUCCUCUUGGGGAUCGUUGCUGUGCUUAGUUGCAUGGUGCGGAAUUCAAGACGUUUACUUUGAGGAAAUUAGAGUGGUUACGGCAAGCUAUCGCUUUGAAUACAUUAGCAUGGAAUAAUAAUAUAGGGCUUUGGUUCUAUUUUGUUGGUUUCUAGGACUAAAGUAAUGAUUAAUAGGGAUAAUUGGGGGCAUUUGUAUUAACGCGUCAGAGGUGGAAUUCUUGGAUUGCGUUACGACAAACUACUGCGAAAGCAUUUGCCAAGGAUGUUUUCAUUGAUCAAGAACGAAAGUAUGGGAUCGAAGACGAUUAGAUACCGU